GCUUCGUUGGCUCAGUUGGUAGAGCGUAGGUCUCAUAAUCCUAAGGUCGCAUGUUCGAAUCCUGCACGGAGCA
rnacentral:tRNA from 1 species